GAUGAACGCUAGCUACAGGCUUAACACAUGCAAGUCGAGGGGAAACGACAUCGCAAGCUUGCUUUUGAUGGGCGUCGACCGGCGCACGGGUGAGUAACGCGUAUCCAACCUGCCCACCACUUGGGGAUAACCUUGCGAAAGUAAGACUAAUACCCAAUGAUAUCUCUAGAAGACAUCUGAAAGAGAUUAAAGCUUUAUAGGUGAUGGAUGGGGAUGCGUCUGAUUAGCUUGUUGGCGGGGUAACGGCCCACCAAGGCUACGAUCAGUAGGGGUUCUGAGAGGAAGGUCCCCCACAUUGGAACUGAGACACGGUCCAAACUCCUACGGGAGGCAGCAGUGAGGAAUAUUGGUCAAUGGGCGAGAGCCUGAACCAGCCAAGUAGCGUGCAGGAUGACGGCCCUAUGGGUUGUAAACUGCUUUUAUAAGGGAAUAAAGUGAGCCUCGUGAGGCUUUUUGCAUGUACCUUAUGAAUAAGGACCGGCUAAUUCCGUGCCAGCAGCCGCAGUAA
rnacentral:rRNA from 1 species